UUGGCUAUCGCCAAGCGGUAGGCAAACGGAUUUUGAUUCGUCAUGCGUUGGUUCAAUCCAGCUAGCCCAGCCA
rnacentral:tRNA from 1 species